rnacentral:tRNA from 1 species
AGGAAAGGGAGGGAUAUC